UCUCGAUAGCGUAAAAGUUAACUCAAAUUUGUAUGAAGUUGGAACAGCUUCCCUUCCUUUGCUAGGGGCGCUGUUCCAACAUCAUACAAAUUUGAGUUAACUUUUACGUUAUUGA
rnacentral:pre_miRNA from 9 species